rnacentral:rRNA from 1 species
AGCGAACGCUGGCGGCAGGCCUAACACAUGCAAGUCGAACGAAGCCUUCGGGCUUAGUGGCGGACGGGUGAGUAACACGUGGGAACGUACCUUUUGGUUCGGAACAACUCAGGGAAACUUGAGCUAAUACCGGAUGAGCCCUUAGGGGGCAAGAUUUAUCGUCGAAAGAUCGGCCCGCGUUCGAUUAGCUAGUUGGUGAGGUAAGGGCUAACAAAGGAAAAGAUCUAUAGCUGGUUUGAGAGGAUGGUCAGCCACACUGGGACUGAGACACGGCCCAGACUCCUACGGGAGGCAGCAGUGGGAAUCUUGCGCAAUGGGCGAAAUGCUGACGGAGCCAUGCCGCGUGAAUGAUGAAGGUCUUAGGAUUGUAAAAGUCUUUUACCAGGGACGAUAAUGACGGUACCUGGAGAAAAAGCCCCGGCUAACUUCGUGCCAGCCGCCGCGGUAACAC